GAUGAACGCUAGCGGCAGGCUUAACACAUGCAAGUCGAGGGGUAUGCCGAUUUAUCGGCAGAGACCGUCGCGCGGGUGCGUAAAGCGUAUGCAAUCUGCCUUUCACAGCGGGAUAGCCCAGAGAAAGUUGGAUUAAUACCUCAUAGUAUAGUAAGUUGGCAUAAACCUGCUAUUAAAGUAACAACGGUGAAAGAUGAGCAUGCGUCCCAUUAGCUAGUUGGUAAGGUAACGGCUUACCAAGGCUACGAUAGGUAGGGGUCCUGAGAGGGAGAUCCCCCACACUGGUACUGAGACACGGACCAGACUCCUACGGGAGGCAGCAGUGAGGAAUAUUUGUCAAUGGGCGCAAGCCUGAACCAGCCAUGCCGCGUGCAGGAUGACGGUCCUAUGGAUUGUAAACUGCUUUUGUACGAGAAGAAACACUCCUACGUGUAGGGGCUUGACUGUAUCGUAAGAAUAAGGAUCGGCUAACUACGUGCCAGCAGCCGCAGUAACAC
rnacentral:rRNA from 1 species